CCCUUAGACGUUCUGGGCCGCACGCGCGCUACACUGACCAGUGCAACAAGCAUCCGUCCUUGGCCGACAGGCUCGGGCAAUCUUUGAACGCUGGUCGUGAUGGGGAUAGACUUUUGCAAUUUUUGGUCUUCAACGAGGAAUUCCUAGUAAACGCAAGUCAUCAACUUGCAUUGAUUACGUCCCUGCCCUUUGUACACACCGCCCGUCGCACCUACCGAUUGAAUGGUCCGGUGAAGCCUCCGGAUUGGCGCGCACCCCGGUGCCGCCGAGAAGUUGGCUAAACCUUACCAUUUAGAGGAGGGUGAAGUCGUANCA
rnacentral:rRNA from 1 species